GACGAACGCUGGCGGCGUGCCUAAUACAUGCAAGUGAAGUUCAGUGGCGGACGGGUGAGUAAUACGUGGGUAACCUGCCCUCCUUUUUGGGAUAAGCCUUGGAAACGGGGUCUAAUACCGAAUAAAGGGGGAUGGUUUCGGGGCCUACCAGCUUGUUGGUGGGGUGAUGGCCUACCAAGGCGGGGACGGGUAGCCGGCCUGAUGAGGUGACCGGCCACAAUGGGACUGGGAUACGGCCCAGACUCCGAGGGGAGGCUGCAGUGGGGGAUAUUGCACAAUGGGCGAAAGCCUGAUGCAGCGACGCCGCGUGGGGGAUGAAGGCUUUCGGGUUGUAAACCUGUUUCGCUAUCGAUCGUUUAGUUCUUUAAGAAGCGCCGGCUGACUACGUGCCAGCGGACGCGGUAAUUC
rnacentral:rRNA from 1 species